rnacentral:lncRNA from 1 species
UGUAGAUGCGUUGCUGCAAGGUUGAGUAGCACGCUAAAGGCAAAUGGUUGGCAUGUGGAGAGUCAGGAUCUAAGCCAGGAAGGCUGACUUCAGAGCCCUUGCUCUGAACCCUAAUGCAGCCUGCCUCCAAGGGUAUCAUUAUUGGUACUGAAUUGUGUCCCCUCAAUAUUCAUAUGUUGAAGUCCUAACCCCAGUACACCUCACAAUGUGACUGUAUUUGGAGAUAAGGUCUUUAAAGAGAUCAGUAAGGUUAAAUGAUGUCAUAUGGGUGGGGUCCUGGUCCAAUGUGGCUGGUGUCUUUAUAAGAAAAAGGAGACACUGAGGAUGCAUGUACACAGAGGAAAGGCCAUAUGAAGACACAGAGAGAAGACCGACAUCUUUAAGGCAAGGAGACAGACUUCAGGGGAAACCAACCCUGCUGACAUUCCAAUCUUGGACUUCCAGCCUCCAGAAACUAUGAGACCUGAAGGCUGAAUAGGAGUGAGCCCAGUCAAGAAGAGACAGCAAUUGUGAAGAGGCUGCAGUGAGAGAGAGCUUGGCACAUUCCAGAAACUGAAUGCAGGAGGCUGUGUGCUGGAGAGCAGAGAAGGCAGCGGCAGGAGAUGAGUCUAGAGAGGGAAAGAAAUCGGAAGAUUGUUGGAGAGAUUCAAGCCUAUUGAAGUGUUCUCUGAACUCCCAGAAUGUCCCCAUGGAGGCAGAUUUUAAAUGAACCUUCUGGGUCUCCCAUUGCAAGGAGAUGGGCUUUCUGGAACACUGUUGAGCUGAAGGCACCUGAGUGUUGUUACAUUUGCCACAAGAACUAGGAGAACUCAAAGUCUGGCAAGUUUCCUGGGUGCACUAAUGUCUGUUGUUCCUGAACGGUGUUAGAAGCCUGUGUCUGAAGUGGCAAAGACAUCCCAAAACCUGGGCUGUUUCUCUACUGGCAAGAUCCCACCUCUACCAAACAUGUCACCAGCAGUCACACACUCUGCAAGCACUCUUGGGAUGAGGAAAACACAGCCCAAAGACAUGCUCGUUGCAUUUGUUCUGUAAACUCACCUCACUUCUACUCUUUUCUGUUUUUCUGUCUAACUAGAUCAGAACCAUCUGCCUACUCAUCCUCUCCACUUGGACGUCUCAUAGGCAUCUCAAGACUUAAAAUGUCCCCAAAGCAAAUUCUUGAUCCCCACUUCCUCCUAAACUUGCCCAACCCUCCAGUCUUCUUUAUCUCAAUAAAGCAAUUUUAUUCACUCUGCUCCUCAGAGUAAAAACCUUGGAGCCAGCUUUGACUCCUUU